rnacentral:rRNA from 1 species
AGGACGAACGCUGGCGGCGUGCUUAACACAUGCAAGUCGAGCGGUGAUCCUCCUUCGGGAGGUGAGCAGCGGCGAACGGGUGAGUAACACGUGGGCAACCUGCCCCUCACACUGGGAUAACCUCGGGAAACCGGGGCUAAUACCGGAUAUGACCUCGAGCGGCAUCUCUUGAGGUGGAAAGCUCCGACGGUGAGGGAUGGGCCCGCGGCCUAUCAGCUUGUUGGUGGGGUAAUGGCCUACCAAGGCGACGACGGGUAGCCGGCCUGAGAGGGCGACCGGCCACACUGGGACUGAGACACGGCCCAGACUCCUACGGGAGGCAGCAGUGGGGAAUAUUGCGCAAUGGGCGAAAGCCUGACGCAGCGACGCCGCGUGAGGGAUGAAGGCCUUCGGGUUGUAAACCUCUUUCAGCAGGGACGAAGCGAAAGUGACGGUACUGCAGAAGAAGCACCGGCUAACUACGUGCCAGCAGCCGCGGUAA